AGCAGCCGCCGCGGGAAUACGUAGGUCCCGAGCGUUGUCCGGAUUUAUUGGGCGUAAAGCGUGCGCAGGCGGUUAGAUAAGUCUGAAGUUAAAGGCUGUGGCUUAACCAUAGUACGCUUUGGAAACUGUUUAACUUGAGUGCAAGAGGGGAGAGUGGAAUUCCAUGUGUAGCGGUGAAAUGCGUAGAUAUAUGGAGGAACACCGGUGGCGAAAGCGGCUCUCUGGCUUGUAACUGACGCUGAGGCUCGAAAGCGUGGGGAGCAAACAGGAUUAGAUACCCCCGUAGUCCCUGUCUCUUAUACA
rnacentral:rRNA from 1 species